rnacentral:rRNA from 1 species
GACGAACGCUGGCGGCGUGCUUAACACAUGCAAGUCGAGCGGUAAGGCCCUUUCGGGGGUACACGAGCGGCGAACGGGUGAGUAACACGUGGGUGACCUGCCCUCAGCUCUGGGAUAAGCCUAGGGAAACCGGGUCUAAUACCGGAUAUGACUCCAUGACGCAUGUUGUGGGGUGGAAAGCCUUGUGCGGCUGAGGAUGGGCCCGCGGCCUAUCAGCUUGUUGGUGGGGUGANGGCCUACCAAGGCGACGACGGGUAGCCGGCCUGAGAGGGCGACCGGCCACACUGGGACUGAGACACGGCCCAGACUCCUACGGGAGGCAGCAGUGGGGAAUCUUGCGCAAUGGG